rnacentral:rRNA from 1 species
AACGAACGCUGGCGGCAUGCCUAACACAUGCAAGUCGAACGAGACCUUCGGGUCUAGUGGCGCACGGGUGCGUAACGCGUGGGAACCUGCCCUUAGGUUCGGAAUAACUCCCCGAAAGGGGUGCUAAUACCGGAUAAUGUCUUCGGACCAAAGAUUUAUCGCCUUUGGAUGGGCCCGCGUUGGAUUAGCUAGUUGGUAGGGUAAAAGCCUACCAAGGCGACGAUCCAUAGCUGGUCUGAGAGGAUGAUCAGCCACACUGGGACUGAGACACGGCCCAGACUCCUACGGGAGGCAGCAGUGGGGAAUAUUGGACAAUGGGCGAAAGCAUGAUCCAGCAAUGCCGCGUGAGUGAUGAAGGCCUUAGGGUUGUAAAGCUCUUUUACCCGGGAUGAUAAUGACAGUACCGGGAGAAUAGGCACCGGCUAACUCCGUG